CCUACGAGGUGCAGCAGUGGGGAAUAUUGGACAAUGGGCGAAAGCCUGAUCCAGCCAUGCCGCGUGUGUGAAGAAGGCCUUCGGGUUGUAAAGCACUUUCAGUGGGGAAGAAAGCCUUGGGGCUAAUACCCUCGAGGAAGGACAUCACCCACAGAAGAAGCACCGGCUAACUCCGUGCCAGCAGCCGCGGUAAUACGGAGGGUGCGAGCGUUAAUCGGAAUUACUGGGCGUAAAGCGCGCGUAGGCGGUCUGAUAAGCCGGUUGUGAAAGCCCCGGGCUCAACCUGGGAACGGCAUCCGGAACUGUCAGGCUAGAGUGCAGGAGAGGAAGGUAGAAUUCCCGGUGUAGCGGUGAAAUGCGUAGAGAUCGGGAGGAAUACCAGUGGCGAAGGCGGCCUUCUGGACUGACACUGACGCUGAGGUGCGAAAGCGUGGGUAGCAAACAGGAUUAGAUACCCCUGUAGUC
rnacentral:rRNA from 1 species